rnacentral:tRNA from 1 species
UCCAUCGUGGUGUAGUGGCUAACAUUGCUGUCUUUCACACAGCAGCCCGGGGUUCGAUUCCCCGCGAUGGAA